rfam:Aedes aegypti strain Liverpool supercont1.138 genomic scaffold, whole genome shotgun sequence.
CAAUCGGCCCUUUUCAGGGCCAAAAAAUGUGUUUAACCCGUAUAGG